rnacentral:rRNA from 1 species
GACGAACGCUGGCGGCGGGCUUAACACAUGCAAGUCGAACGGAAAGGCCCUGCUUUUGUGGGGUGCUCGAGUGGCGAACGGGUGAGUAACACGUGAGUAACCUGCCCUUGACUGUGGGAUAACUUCAGGAAACUGGGGCUAAUACCGGAUAGGAGCUCCUGCUGCAUGGGGGGGGUUGGAAAGUUUCGGCGGUUGGGGAUGGACUCGCGGCUUAUCAGCUUGUUGGGGGGGUAGUGGCUUACCAAGGCUUUGACGGGUAGCCGGCCUGAGAGGGUGACCGGCCACCUUGGGACUGAGAUACGGCCCAGUCUCCUACGGUAGGCAGCAGUGGGGAAUCUUGCACAAUGGGCGGAAGCCUGAUGCAGCAACGCCGCGUGCGGGAUGCCGGCCUUCGGGUUGUAAACCGCUUUCGCCUGUGACGAAGCGUGAGUGACGGUAAUGGGUAAAGAAGCACCGGCUAACUACGUG